GACGAACGCUGGCGGCGUGCCUAAUACAUGCAAGUUGAGCGCUGAAGGUUGGUACUUGUACCAACUGGAUGAGCAGCGAACGGGUGAGUAACGCGUGGGGAAUCUGCCUUUGAGCGGGGGACAACAUUUGGAAACGAAUGCUAAUACCGCAUAAAAACUUUAAACACAAGUUUUAAGUUUGAAAGAUGCAAUUGCAUCACUCAAAGAUGAUCCCGCGUUGUAUUAGCUAGUUGGUGAGGUAAAGGCUCACCAAGGCGAUGAUACAUAGCCGACCUGAGAGGGGGAUCGGCCACAUUGGGACUGAGACACGGCCCAAACUCCUACGGGAGGCAGCAGUAGGGAAUCUUCGGCAAUGGACGAAAGUCUGACCGAGCAACGCCGCGUGAGGGAAGAAGGUUGUCGGAUCGUAAAACUCUGUUGGUAGAGAAGAACGUUGGUGAGAGUGGAAAGCUCAUCAAGUGACGGUAACUACCCAGAAAGGGACGGCUAACUACGUG
rnacentral:rRNA from 1 species